CUUUUCAAUAAAAAACUAUUUCUGCUGUAUGUGACUACAAAACAAAUUGAUAAUUAUACAAAUUUGUCUGUACACUUAUUUGUGAACAGACUUACAAACCUUGCGCAAUGGAACCUGAACCACAAGUUUGGACUUCGAGUGGACUCGUAGUAAAAAACAUGGAAGAAGAUUUGCCUAUUGUCAGAUUAGACACCAUAAGGGCAAACAGAGAAGGGCUGGUUCAAAAGAAAAUAUAUGAAACAAAGAAGAAUGAAGUUGGUGUACAAGGAAGCCUCUCUAAAUGGACAAAUGCAAGUUGUCAAUGGAAUAAAAUUUCCAGAUUUAAUAUCAGAUGGGCAAAGAGAGAAGGGCUAGUUCCUAAGAAAAAAUAUUCAACAAAAAAGGAUGAAGUUGGUGUACAAAGUGGCCUCUGUAAGUGGACUUCAAAUGCAAGUCGUCGGUUGAAUAAGUAUCAAAUGUUGAGUGUCCGGAUGUCUAUCAAUGCAACGAUUUCAGAUAUCACUGAGGCAAAAGGAAGUUACAUCAUGAACAUGAACAUAGAUUGGAUGUCAACCGAGGCAACUGUUUCUGAUGAAGACAUUAAUCUUGAAGAGAAAGCACAUUGGGCAAUACCAGUUGGAAGUCAAGCUGAAAAAAGGAAAAUAUAUGUGUAUGGUUAUCUGGUUAACUUUUCAAACAAAACAAUGUUAAUGAUACCUGGUUUUGAUAACAGUUCAGAAAACACGCAUGCAAUCACAGCUUUUGGCAAUGGUCAAAUUUUAAACUCAAGCCCUCACUCAGAGGAGCUGUCAAGCCCUUAUUUUAAUGGAACAGAUCAUAAAGAAUUGCCAAAGCCCUCUAUUGGUGACGUGUAUGUGUCAAAUCAACUUUAUACCAACACAGAUCAAAAUUUGGUGUCAGGCCUUUGUGACCAAUAUUCAAAUGACAGUGGAAUGAAAAGCUUGUCAGGAGAAGACACGAAUGACGGUCAAUUAUCAAGACUGUCAGGAACAACUGAAAGAAAGUUGUCAAGGCAUUCUGGUAUUGCUUUAAAAAUCACCUGUAAUUGGUCUACUUCUGCAGGAAGUCCAUUGACAAAGCCCAGUGCUAUGAAUAACACUGCAGAGCAUCAGUUGACAAAGCCCACUGCUGUGAAUUUCAAUGCAGGGUGUCUGUUAACAAAGCCCACUGCUUUAAAUUCCACUGCAGGGUGUCACUUGACAAAGCCAAGUGCUGUUAAUUCCACUGCAGGAGGUCUGUUGACAAAGCCCACUGCUAUUAAUUCCACUGCAUGGGGUCAGUUGACAAAGCCCAGUGCUGUUAAUUCCACUGCAGGGGGUCUGUUGACAAAGCCAAGUGCUGUUAAUUCCACUGCAGGGGGUCCGUUGACAAAGCCUAGUGUUGAUAAUUCCACUGCAUGGGCUCAGUUGACAAAGCCCAGUGCUGUUAAUUCCACUGCAGGGUGUCACUUGACAAAGCCAAGUGCUGUUAAUUCCACUGCAGGGGGUCCGUUGACAAAGCCUAGUGCUGAUAAUUCCACUGCAGGGGGUCCGUUGACAAAGCCAAGUGCUGUUAAUUCCACUGCAGGGGGUCAAUUAGCAAAGCCCACUUCUUUGAAUUCCACUGCAAGAGGUAAGUUCACAAAGGCCACCUCUUUGAAUUCCACUGCAAGAGGUCAGUUGAAAAAGUCCACUGCUAUUAAUUCCACUGCAGGGCACCCAUUGACAAAGCCAAGUGCUGAUAAUUCCACUGCAAGGGUUCAGUUGACAAACCUCAGUGCUAUGAAUUUCACUGCAAGGGGUCAUGUGACAAAGCCAAGUGCUAGGAAUUCAAUUGCAGGGGGUCAGAUAACAAAGCCAAGUGUUGUUAGUUUGUCUGCAGGGGGUCUGUCGACAAAGCUGAGUGCUGUGAAUUCCACUGCAGAGUGUCAGAAAUCAAAGCCCAUUGCCGUUUAUUCCAAUGCAGGGGGUCAAUUAACAAAGCCCACUUCUUUGAAUUCCACUGCAAGAGGUCAGUUCACAAAAGUUAUCUCUUUGCAUUCCACUGCAGGGGAUCAGUUGACAAAGCCCAGUGCUGUGAAUUCCACUGCAGGGGAUCAGUUGACAAAGCCCAGUGCUGUGAAUUCCACUGCAGGGGACCAGUUGACAAAGCCCAGUGCUGUGAAUUCCACUGCAGGGGAUCAGUUGACAAAGCCCAGUGCUGUGAAUUCCACUGCAGGGUGUCAGUUGACAAAGCCCAGUGCUGUGAAUUCCACUGCAGGGGAUCAGUUGACAAAGCCCAGUGCUCUGUAUUCCACUGCAGGGGAUCAGUUGACAAAGCCCAGUGCUGUGAAUUCCACUGCAGGGGAUCAGUUGACAAAGCCCAGUGCUGUGAAUUCCACUGCAGAGCUUCAGAUAACAAAGUGUAGUGCUUUGGUUACCACUGCAGGGGGUCAGUUGACACAGCACAGUGCUAUGAUCACCACUGAAGGGGGUCAAUUUACUAAGCCCACUAUUGUGGUUACCAUUGCACAAAGUAAAUUAACAAAGCCCACCGAUGUGGUUACUGCUUCAGAUGGUCAAUUGACAAAGCCCACUGAUAUGUUUACUGCUUCAGAAAGUCAAUUGACAAAUCCCAUGGAUGUGGUCACUGUCGCAGAAAGUCAAUUGACAAAGCCCUAUGAUGUGGUUACUGCUGCAGUAAGUCAAUUGACAAAGCCCGAUGAUGUGGUUACUGCUGCAGAAAGUCAAUUGACAAAGCCCAAUCAUACGGUUACGGCUGCAGAAAGUAAAUUGUCAAAGCCCUAUGAUGUGGUUACCACUGCAGAAAGUCAAUUGACAAGUCCCACUGAUGUGGUUAGAACUAAAACAAGUCAGCUGACUAAGCCCACUGUUGUGCUUACUGCUGCAGAAAGUCAAUUGACAAAGCCCGAUGAUGUGGUUACUUCUGCAGAAAAUCAAUUGACAAAGCCCACUGAUGUGGUUACCACUGCAGAAAGUCAAUUGACAAAGCCCAGUGAUGCGGUUAUGGCUGCAGAAAGUAAAUUGUCAAAGCCCUAUGAUGUGGUUACCACUGCAGAAAGUCAAUUGACAAGUCCCACUGAUGUGGUUAGAACUAAAACAAGUCAGCUGACAAAGCCCACUGAUGUGGUUACCACUGCAGAAAGUCGAUUGACAAAGCUUACUUAUGCAGCUUUCCCUGCAGGAUGUAAAUUGACCCGUUUCAAAUUGUGUAAAAGUCUUCUUUUUGUGUGUUUUCUUUGGCAAAUGAUUCAUGUUACAAGCACAAAACCACUUGGCAAUUACAUGUCAAUCUAUUGCACGCUAGGUUCAACUGUCACAAUUCCCAUGUCAGUUGAACCAGGCACUGAUUUUUCUUUGGCCGUGCAAAAUGAUGAGAUUGGAGCCUGCGAUGGUAUAUCUUGUUACAUACUUCCAAACUUUGUUGAGUUAUACCAUAUCAUGAAAAGUGUGGGCAUGAGCUGGAAUUUGACCAUAAACAGAGUAACAUGCAAUGAUUCCAGUAUUGCAGUUAAGGUGACUGGGGGUCAGAUAUUGCAAUUAAUCAAAAUAAAUGUACAAGGCUGUGAAGAUCUCCAUGAUAGGGACACAACAACAAGAAGUCAAAAUGAAAGUGAAUCAAUCAAAAAUGGCAGUAUAAUAUGGUUAAUCGUAGCAGUUUUUUUGACUGCCCUUGUUGUUUGUUGUGUUUAUUGUGUUUAUCGGAUUUUUAAAUAGACAAAUGUCUGUGUAUUCCGUGAGCCCUUUCCUCACCAUUGGAACUGAACAUGUUAUUAAAAAAACAGCCUCGAAAAAAAGUAUGUAAAUUUGAAAACCAUACAAGUAAGAGCUUUAAAAUCUGUAUUUUAUUAAAGAAUUGUUAAGCAUAAAUAUUAAUAAUAUUACGUGUUUACAUUUAUGAGAUGGGACGAGAUGAGAACCAAUAGGCUAACUUCAAGAUCAAAUGUCCCAAUAGUAUAUUGUGUGCUUUUACUAAUUUUACUUAAUAUAUAUUAUUUUUUUGGAUGUGUUUUGUUUAACCCUUUCCCACUUAGAAGCUAAGUGAAAAUGGCUAUGUGCAAACAGAAUAGAGCCAGAACAGCUUGCAAGAAACUGCUGUCUUAUCAGGUUUUAUGCUGUUUGCUGCUCAUCAGUAUCUAAAUGUUGGCGUUGAAACCUUUAAAACUCGAGUCUAGUAAGAAAGGUCUUACAUUAAAUAUAACUUUCUGAGGGACUACAGAUGUGUUAAAAUACGUAUCUCGGUGGUGAAGGGUUAAUUUUAGAUAUCCUUUUUGUAAAUAUUUGUGUUUCUUUUUGUUCAGCUUUUUGUGAAUAAAAUGAAAAGAAAGUUAAACUUUCAGUGUAAAAUUGUGCGAAUAAUACUGGCAAAUGUGUUAAAUGUUAAAAAAUACAUUUUUUUGUAUCUUAAUAAUUGGUGUAUGAGUUUGUUAAAUGGAUUUGUCAAUUAAUUAUCCCCUGCCAAAGGCAGAGUGAUAUACAUUUUGGCCUGUGCAUAUGUCCGUCUGUUCGUCAGUCAGUCUGUCUGAUUGAAACAUUAAAUGUCUAUAUCUUAGAAACUGUAUAAGAUAUCAACGUGAAACUUCAUAGGUGUAUAGUUAUCAAUAUCAAGUGCCACGCACAAGAACCAUAAUCCUACACUUUCUUUAAUAAGAGUUAUUUUGUAUUUUUGUAUGAUAAAUUUGUUUCAGGGCUUUAUCUUAGAUACCAUGCAAGAUUUCAACAUGAAACUUUAUGGGUGUGUUUAUGUAUUUAUUAAUGAGAAAGUACAAGUUAUUGCCCUUUGUUGUUUUUUUGCAUGAUGGAACUUUUGAGGCUAUAUCUGAGAUAUGAUACAACACGUCAACAUGAAACGUCAAGGGUGUGUAGAAAUCUAUGGGAAGAAGUGCCAUGUACAAGAACCAUAACUCUGCACUUUCUUAAAUAAAAGUUAUUGCCCUUUGUUCUUUUGUAUGAUGUCAUUUUUCAAGGCUAUAUCUCAGAUACACUAAAAGUUUUCAAAAUAAAACUUAAUGGGUGAGUUGAUAUCAAAAAGGAGAAUUGCAAUUCAUAAAAACAUUUACCCUGCACUUAAUUAUUACCUAUAAAUUAUUACCCUACACUUUAUAAUAUUACUGUAUAUCAAAGGAUUUGCACAUAUUCAUAUAAUAAGUUGAUUUGGGGGGGGGGGGGGAUAUCAAUACAACGAAUUUGCUUUUUCAUAACACAGCUAUCUUAUGAAAUAAGUUUUUUUCCUAAACAACAUACAGAAAUAAUGUUAAAUAUAUAAUUAUACCUUGAUCUAACAUUAUUCAAAUGCCAUGACUGUUUCAUUGUUUAUUUCAGAAUUAUUUGAUGUUAUCUGUGUAUCAAUUAAUGUAUUUACUUAUGAAGAUGACCAUCAUGUGAUACUCUUUUAGUUUACACGUGCUAGCAAGCUUACAUAAUCUUGUAUGUAGAAGUUUGGAUGAUGUUUUAUGAUAAACUUGUCCCUAGCCAAUUUAUGUGUAAUCAAUCAUGUUAAAAUAAAAAAUAUUGUAAAAUUCCUUGUUACUAAAUGAAAUUACUUAAAAGUUAAUAUGCUUUCAUAAAUACAACUAAAAUUAUAUAUAUGUUACAAAAUGUAGUAUAUUUACACUACUUGUUUUGCUUGCAAUUUUUAUGUUGAUUGUAUGUUUGUUGGCAUGAAAUAAUAUGUAAAUAUUGGCUUUGUUUGUGUAAUUUAUCCAUUUUUUCGGAAGUUUUUUUUGUCUUUUAUUUGUCUUAUGCAGCUGAUUCAGAAUUCAAAAUUAUCAGAAUUUUAAUGACAGACAGCUAAACCUCAGAACAUAUUGCGUUUGUGAUGUGAAUAAUAUGUUAUAUUAAAAUAUUUUAUAUACACACUUGUUAUUGUAAUUGUUAAAAUAAAAUAAUACAAACAUGCAUUAAAUGAAACAUCAUAGUUACCAAUUUACCUAUAACCUUUAAGCCUAGUAUGUCAUAUCUAACAAAAAUCGCCGUACAUACCUUAUAACUUUUUAUUCUAAUCUUGGUUGUUUUUCGUGUGCUGAUUAAGUAUUUCGAAUAGCUUAUUGUUAUAUCUUUUUUGUAUCAUGUCAUAAAUGAAAUGUGUAAACAUCUACUUAUUUAUGCUUAAUCUUUUAUUGCAAGUAAAUGCUGCAGUCUUUUCCAAUAUUUAGACUGUGCAGUGAUGAUUUUUUGUAUUAUUUGGAUGUUUUUUAUGUCCCCCACUAUAGUAGUGGGGGACAUAUUGUUUUUGCCCUGUCUGUUGGUCUGUCUGUUGGUCUGUCUGUUUGCGCCAACGUUAACAUUUUGCAAUAACUUUUGCUAUAUUGAAGAUAGCAACUUCAUAUUUGGCAUGCAUGUGUAUCUCAUGAAGCUGCACAUUUUGAGUGGUGAAAGGUCAAGGUCAUCCUUCAAGGUCAGAGGUCAAAUAUAUGUGGCCAAAAUCGCUCAUUUUAUGAAUACUUUUGCAAUAUUGAUGAUAGCAACUUGAUAUUUGGCAUGCAUGUGUAUCUCGUGGAGCUGCACAUUUUGAGUGGUGAAAGGUCAAGGUCAAGGUCAUCCUUCAAGGUCAGAGGUCAAAUAAAUGUGGCCCUAAUCGCUUAUUUUAUAAAUACUUUUGCAAUAUUAAAGAUAGCAACUUGAUAUUUGGCAUGCAUGUGCAUGUCAUGGAGCUGCACAUUUUGAGUGGUGAAAGGUCAAGGUCAUCCUUCAAGGUCAGAGAUCAAAUAUAUGUGGCCAAAAUCGCUUAUUUUAUGAAUACUUUUGCAAUAUUGAAGAUAGCAACUUGAUAUUUGGCAUGCAUGUGUAUCUCAUGGAGCUGCACAUUUUGAGUGGUGAAAGGUCAAGGUCAAGGUCAUCCUUCACAAUGUCAAGGUCAUCCUACAAGGUCAAACAUCAUAUAGGGGGACAUUGUGUUUCACAAACACAUCUUGUUUGAUGGGUUGUUUUUAUAAUAUUUUCUUAUAAUCAUUAAUUUUAAUUAUAUGUUUUUCUUCCUUCUUUACCUGUGCAUCCUACAUACACAUUUCGACGGCACAUAAGCCAGAAGGGCUGUGAAAUUUUGUGUUGUCGUUUUUAAACUGCCGAAAAUGGCAUUCCAUAAGAAAAAAAACUAAUAUUAAGUUAUAAUACAUAUGUAUCCUUCAUGGCAAUCAAUUUGUACUAGAUUGCUAUAAUUACAAUGAUUACGGUGUAGCAAUCUUAAAGUAUAAACCUAUAGAUGCCAUGUUAAAAAUUUAACACAGACACACACAUUCCAGGCUCAUAAUACACCCACCCACGCACACACUUACACCUUUUCCCAAAACCAGCAGAUUAUCAGAUUCAUUAAAUUGGAUUGUUUAUUACAUAAAUAUGAUGUUUUUACACGCUCUGUGAUUAUUUGUAUUUUUAUUAUUAGCUCACCUGUCACGAAGUGGUGACAUGGUGAGCUUAUGUGACUGUGUGAUGUCCGUUGUGUGUGCGUCCGUCAACAUUUUGUUUGUGUAGACAGUAGAGGGCACAGUUUUCAUCCAAUCUUUAUGAAAUUUAGUCAGAAUUUUUAUCUUGAUAAAAUCUGGGUUGGGAUUGUAUUUGGGUCAUCUCGGGUCAAAAACAAGGUCACUAGGUCAAAAACUAGGUCACAUAAUAGGUCAAAUAAUAUAAAAACACUGUGUAGACAAUAGAGGUCGCAGUUUUCAUCGAAUCUAUAUGAAAUUUGGUAAGAAUGUUUAUCUUGAUGAAAUCUAUGUUGGGAUUGUAUUUGGGUCAUCUUGGGUCAAAAACUAGGUCACUAGGUCAAAAACUAGGUCAAAUAAUAGAAAAACCUUGUGUAGAAAGUAGAGGUCACAGUUUUCAUCCAAUCUUUAUGAAAUUUGGUCAGAUUGUUUAUCUUGAUGAAAUCUGGGUUGGGAUUGUAUUUGGGUCAUCUGGGGUCAAAAACUAGGUCACUAGGUAAAUAACUAGGUCAAAUAAUAGAAAAACCUUGUGUAGACAAUAGAGGUCGCAGUUUUCAUCCAAUCUUUAUGAAAUGUGGUCAGAAUGUUUAUCUUGAUAAAAUCUGGUUGGGAUUGUAUUUGGAUUAUUAUGGUAAAAAAACUAGGUCACUAGGUCAAAAACUAGGUCAAAUAAUAGAAAAACCUUGUGUAGACAAUAGAGGUCGCAGUUUUCAUCCAAUCUUUAUGAAAUUUGGUCAGAAUAUUUAUCUUGAUGAAAUCUGGGUUGGGAUUGUAUUUGGGUCAUCUGAGGUAAAAAACUAGGUCACUAGGUCAGAUAAUAGAAAAACCCUCAACAAUUUGUUUGUGUAGACAGUAGAGGUCACAGUUUUCAUCCAAUCUUUAUGAAAUUUGGUCAUAAUGUUUAUCUUGAUGAAAUCUGGGUUGGGAUUGUAUUUGGGUCAUCUGGGGUCAAAACCUAGGUCACUAGGUCAAAAACUAGGUCACUAGAUCAAAAACUAGGUCACUAGGUCAAAUAAUAGAAAAACCUUGUAUAGACAAUAGAGGUCACAGUUUUCAUCCAAUCUUUAUGAAAUUUGGUCAGAAUGUUUAUCUUGUUGAAAUCUGGGUUUGGAUUGUAUUAUGGUCAUCUGGGGUCAAAAACUAGGUCACUAGGUCAAAUAAUAGAAAAACCUUGUGUAGACAGUAGAGGUCACAGUUUUCAUCCAAUCUUUAUAAAAUUUGAUCAAAAUGUUUAUCUUGAUGAAAUCUGGGUUGGGAUUGUAUUUGGGUCACCUGGGUGCAGAAACUAGGUCACUAGGUCAAAUAAUAGAAAAACCUUGUGUAGACAAUAGAGGUCACAGUUUUCAUCUAAUCUUUAUGAAAUUUGGUCAGAAUGUUUAUCUUGAUGAAAUCUGGGUUGGGAUUGUAUUUGGUUAGUCAGGUGAGCGAUUCAGGGCCAUCAUGGCCCUUUUGUUUAAAAAUAAAUAUUUGUUAAAAGAAUUUUAACUGAUUUGAUGCUAAAAAAGUAAAUUGAAUAUACAAACAUACCAAUCCAGAGUUUUAGCAAUUCAUUAUACAAUGUUUUAAUGGUUAUGUUAAAUCUAGCUGAUUUAAUGAGAUUUGUUAAAGUAUUUUAUAGCAAAAUGUAAAGACAUAAUGCUUGUAUAUGCAAGUAUGUUAACAGUGUUGAUGUAUGUGUAAUGGAUCUUAAAUGUCUUACCCCUUGUAUUUAAAUGGUAAAAAAAAGAAUUCGCUGUUUUCAUACACGUGUGUAGUUUCUCAUUUGGCUUUGGAAUUUUCAAAUUAGGAUGUUGCUUUAGUAUUGUAUUGUACUGACUGUUUUGGAUGUUGCUUUAGUAUUGUAUUGUACUGACUGUUUCGCUUAUUUGUCUUAUUAUAGCUAAAUAAAGGUGUUGGGUAUUUUU